rnacentral:rRNA from 1 species
AGAGUUUGAUCAUGGCUCAGAACGAACGCUGGCGGCGUGCCUAACACAUGCAAGUCGCGCGCGAAAGCCUUCGGGUGAGUAGAGCGGCGCACGGGUGAGUAACACGUGGGUAAUCUUCCUUCAGGACUGGGAUAACCCGGGGAAACUCGGGCUAAUACCGGAUAAGACCACGCAACGAGAGUUGCGCGGGAAAAGCGGAGGACCUCUUCGGAGGCUUCGCACCAGAAGAUGAGCCCGCGGCCCAUCAGCUAGUUGGCGGGGUAACGGCCCACCAAGGCUAAGACGGGUAGCUGGUCUGAGAGGACGACCAGCCACACUGGGACUGAGACACGGCCCAGACUCCUACGGGAGGCAGCAGUGGGGAAUUUUGGACAAUGAGCGCAAGCCUGAUCCAGCCAUGCCGCGUGCAGGAUGAAGGCCUUCGGGUUGUAAACUGCUUUUGUACGGAACGAAACGACUCUUUCUAAUACAGAGGGCUAAUGACGGUACCGUAAGAAUAAGCACCGGCUAACUACGUGCCAGCCGCCGCGGUAAUACA